rnacentral:rRNA from 1 species
UACGGAGGGUGCAAGCGUUAUCCGGAUUCACUGGGUUUAAAGGGUGCGUAGGAGGGCAGGUAAGUCAGUGGUGAAAUCUCCGAGCUUAACUUGGAAACUGCCGUUGAUACUAUCUGCCUUGAAUAUUGUGGAGGUGAGCGGAAUAUGUCAUGUAGCGGUGAAAUGCUUAGAUAUGACAUAGAAUACCUAUUGCGAAGGCAGCUUACUACACAGAUAUUGACGCUCAUGCACGAAAGCGUGGGGAUCAAACAGG